CAAUGCGGAAGUGAUGAGCCAAUCAGCUGAUUAACAGGUGUUUAUCAGGUGUGCACCUGCAGUCACUUCUCUUAAUCCUCCUCCACCACCAGCACGUACUACCGUACGUUUGGUGCCAUCACAUCAAUUCAACAGCUGCCGAAGAACAAGAACAAGCCGCGACCAAGAACUCCUGGAGCUUUUAAACUCCAUUUCAUUCGGUAAAGCGUGUUUCUAGGAGGAAGGAUUUGGUUUUUAAAACCACCGCGCUUGUCAUGGCGGGCGUGUGACGUCAGACGCGCAGAAAGUCACACACUAUUCAAAAUGUGACUUAGUGUGAAGCGGCGGGCUUAUAUUUUAAAUAUUAUGCCCUACAUGAAUGAGGAUCGGAGACGGCGGGUCGACCUGGUCCAGAUUGAGGAUUUACCGAGAAAGACAUUUGUUUUUGCCACGAGACCGGGUUGAGCUGUCUGUCUUCACACACGGCACGUGCUGUGGAUAGACGGGUCUUCAUGAAGUCUUCUCAAAGUAAGGGGCGUUUGUAUUAUGGGAUGCCGCUGUGCUCCCAUGCUUUCUUGCUCUUGGCCGCCGGGCCUGCAUGUAUGGCUGCCUUGCCAGUACAUGUAUGCUUUAUGGUCGCUGUACCAAUUCUUCUUUUGAUCAUACCAUUCAUUCAAACAGGUGGCCAUGUUGGACCCAUGUCUCUUCUCUAUUAUAUUAGGAUUUAUCAACUCAACACUAGCCAAGACCUGACAAGGCUUGUGUGAGGGGUGAGAUGUGUAUUUUGUGCCCAAGGGGAGACAGUGGAGCAUAAGUUUGUCCUUUUGCUUUGUUGGCUGUGAAAGUCCCCCCUGGGUGUAUAAGUGUUAGACUGUCCUGGUCAGUUAGUUUUGUCUUGAACUGCUGAGCUAGUAAUGUAGAACUGUCUGUUUUUGGCACUAAAACUUAAGCAUCACUAAGUAACGUGGACAUUAUGUUUGUGUGUGGGCUGUGUGACAGUCUGGGUGUUGUUUUGCAUUGAAUGAGUGAGUGGUCGCAAUCAAGCCUUGAACCUUUCAGCUCAGCAGUGAAGUAGAUGAUUAAAGUGUGUUUGUCAUAGUGUGGUGUUACCUAGUCUGAAAAUGGUCACUGUACCAUGAAUAUAAAUAUGUGAAAUGGCUUGAUUAUGCGCUAACACUUCCUUUGUAGGUGUGUCUACAGAAGGUAAGAAUGAUUUUCAUUCUUUUUGGAUGGCUGCCGUGUCGGCCUCCCUAUCCCAUUUCUCUCUCCUGGUUUUCAAAAAAAAUAAUAUUAAUAUUAUUAUUAUUAUUAUUAUUAUUAUUAUUAUUAUUAAUAAUGAUAAUAAUAAUCAAAGUAGGGGGAAAAACUUAUUUAGUUGUCCGGGUCUCUCAAACCAGUGUACAUACUGGGUUAAAGCUUCAAAGCACAAUUUUGUCAAACUAAUAAAAAUAAAAGCCCAACCAUAUGAAAUGGUUUUCCUCCCAAUUUAGUCUGCUAAUAUAAUCAGCUUAGUUCCAGCCUUUAAAAAUUUUAAAACGAAGCUUCGCAGAUGUCCGUCCCUCGCUCACCUAUUUGUCCAACCAACAAGACUUCCACGCCAUGGGCCAGCACAAAUUCCUGGUGGAUCGCAGAAUGGUACAUCUUGGUUGUUGUGUGUGAGUAACUUUUUUUUCUUUAUGGGUGGGGUUGUGCUUGUCCUGUGCCAUAACCACACUUUUAUUUCAGCUCAUCCAACAAGGAGGACCACCCAUUUCUUCAUCCAAUUUCAUUUCACCGCAUUUCAUUUCACCGCAUUUCAUUUCCAUUUUCCCCGUUGGAUCUUCGAGCGAUGCAUUUCCAUUUUCCGUCCGUCGGUGCAUUUAUUUAUCAAAUACCGUAUUUAUUGGUAUAUAAUACAUUUUUACAAUACACUGUAAAAUGCAUUUUUUACAAUGAAUUGUAAAAUUUAUAAUAACAAAUGUUGCAAUAAUUUGAAAAAUGUAUUAUCACAUUUUACAAUAUAUUGUAACAUUUAUAAUUUAAUUUAAAAAUUAAAAUUUUCUUAGUGUAGGUGAGGGCUGUAAUGUAUUGUGUGCAAAAGUAAUUUUGCGCACUAUACAUGACAUUUUGUCAGCCUUGGUGCUGCAUUCAUAAAAUUAAACAUGGAGGAAUUAAUUUUUUUUCUAAAUUUACAAAAAAAAAGGAUUCUGGUUCGAGUUGGUAUUUGUUUGUUGUAGUUUUCUGGAUGACCAGGACAAAUCGGAUGAUUCUUGAGAUGGGAUUUAUUGACAGAGUAGGCUCAGUUAUAUUUUUAAGUUGUCUUUGUCCCUGCAACAGGGAAUAGGUUUCUCUCUGAUAUGGCUGCCAUGCCAUCUGUCUCCAUUAAGACCAGCAUGCUAUGACUCCAACAUGGUCACCUGUCCGUCCAAUUGUCGCUCCAUCUAAGUUUUAUUAAUAUACCCAAGUAGUUGCUAAACUAUCUGCCAUGAGUUUAGAACCUCUGUCCUAUCCUGUUCUCCUCAGACACACACAUGCACUCAUCACACACCUUGUCAGCAUUUCAGUUCAGCCAUCCAAUAGAACCACGUUAGUUGCGUCAAACAACUUCUACAAAUCUCUUUUUUCUUCAGUCUAGGCUGCUGUGCCUUGGCUUGACUGUGCUGGCUGCCAUGCCACGAGGCCUCACUUUUCCACAUCUUUCUAUCAGCCACUGUGCUGCUCUAUCAUUUCUUUCUCUAUAUCUGCCUUUUUUCCUGUGCUCUUGUCUUUGUCUCAAAAGGCUUAAGCUGUGUGUCUGCGUGUUUGUGUGUGGGUCCACGUUUGGAGUGACUGAGUUUCUUAAUUGACCGACAUCAAAGUUAACGUUAAAGUUAACGACAAGUUGGAGGAAUCCGUUGCCAUAGUUGGACUGAAUACUACUGAUGCUGCUACUACUGACUACUACUGACUACUACUGAUGCUGCUACUACUGACUACUAUUGAUACUGCUACUACUGAUAAUGCUACUACUGACUACUACUACUGAUAUAAGUACUACUGACUACUACUGGUACUGCUACUACUGACUACUACUGAUAUUAGUACUACUGACUACUACUGAUGGUAAGACAUUAAAGAAACCUAGUACAUUAGCAAAGCUUGAUAUUUAAGGAUCAUAGGAUAGGAAAAUGCUAUUGUCCUACUGCAAAAAUGUUUGACAGUCAAUAGGGUUAAAAUUAUAGGUAAUGCAGGAAAUGAAUAAAUAAAAAUUAAUUAAAUGUCUUCCCUUUGGGGCUUUUGAUGAGUAAUUUUCCCUUCCAGUUAUUCAGCCCAUGGAUAAUGCAUUAUGAAGUGUAAAAUAUAUUGACAUCUGAGAUUUUGCAUAUUUCAGUUAAAUGGUGGAGGUGCAUGUGCAGGCUUGACAAAGUCAAUUGUCCCUUUGCCUGUAAUUUUUAAUUAUACGUAUUUUUGAUAGGAAUUUUUAUUGCAUUUGUUGCACUCCACCAUCAAUACUAUUAAUGAUUAAGGCCGGUUUGUCGACUCUGCCAAGUUUAUUUUUUUCCUACUGGAGACUCAAGAAUUUUCUAUUUGCGCGUCAUGUUGGGAGGCCUCCCAGCAGGGGGAGUUAACCCACCCCUGCAAAAAAACAAUGCGUCACUCGAGUAGGAUCGUCAAAUACUCACUGCAAUGACAAGUUGCACAGUUUCACACAUGGUAUUGUCAUCACUUGGUAGGCGGGGGUACAAGAUAGAAGCGCGCUUGUGUUUCCUGGGAGGAAGCAAACUUGGCAGACGGACAAUUUUUGUUUAUUUAUUUUUUACCAUCUAUUGGUGGUGAAGUAAUCGAUGAUAAUCAAGAGUAUCAGGUUGAAUCCACAUUUUACUAUCUUCAGUUACCUGCUUUUGAUGCAGUUUAAUUUGAAACAUUACUGUGGGCUGAAUUUCAAAUGUCUAGAUAGUCAUAGGUUUAGUUUUGAAAUAGAAUGGGUUAUAUCACUCCAAUAUUUAUGGAAGUUUGAUUUGAAAAAAUGUAAAACUUAUUUUCCCAUGGUGAAGUUUGUAGUGCAGAUAAAAGCAUUUUUUUUCCCCCAGUAUUCGUCAGGGAUGCCCCCUAGAUUAAAAGCCUAUACGUACCAAAUUGACUGUUUGACAAUCUUAGCAGUAUACUUAAUAAUCCUAAAUGUUAAAUAAAAAAAAAAGUUAUAGGGAAUUUCAGCUUUUAUUGAAACAGUGUAGCUAUAGGAUGGCAGAGGGAGGGGAGCGAUGGCAUCCAGCUAUGGGCCCCGGCUGGAUUCCACCCAAGGCUGCUAUGGUAAGAAAGCCUGCAUCGUAUACACAGGUGAGCUACUGGUGCACUGACAUGAUAAAUUCCGAAAAAAACUGUAAAUGCCUGAUUUUACUCUUUGCUGAAUUGGUGCAGAUCCCACGGCCCGAUGGUGAUAGAGGCCAUGGAAGGUUCCGGUUCCUCUGCCACCAGGAAAAUCUACUCGGGAGGUGAUGGAGGCCAUGGAAGGUUCAGGUUCCUCUGCCACCAGGAAAAUCUACUCGGGAGGUGAUGGAGGCCAUGGAUGGUUCCGGUUCCUCUGCCACCAGGAAAAUCUACUCGGGAGGUGAUGGAGGCCAUGGAAGGUUCAGGUUCCUCUGCCACCAGGAAAAUCUACUUGGGACCCUGUGAGCCGGAGAUGCCCCGUCCAGAUUGCAGUGUCAAAGCCAAGCGGUACUCCUCCUGUCUCGAAGAUACCCCUUUGCCAUGGGAUGUCUUCAGAUUUCAACCUUUUCGGAGCUGUGAGACCUGAGCUUGUCAAGCCCUGCACACUAUCUUACAUGCAGACCUCGCUUCUGAACGACUGCUGCGUGUCGGCAAACCACACGAUUUGAUAAACUGUUCUACAGACUCGAACACAAACACCAAUACUCAUUCUGCACACACCACUCUUAUCACCCAACAUUAUGCUCACCCACCACUGGACUGACAAAAAGCAGACAACUUGAAAUGUUUGAUCCUAAUUUGUUUAAAUGUUUGAUAAACUACUUGAGGGUGUAUAAUGCAAUCCUUCGGUUUGUGAAGCGUUGGAUUUUGUCCAACGGUUCACAAACUGUUGGGUUUUGUCCAUAGAAAGAUGCAUGCGCUCUUGCAUGCCCUAAUUUCAUAUUUGUACAUUUGAGAAAAAUCGGUUGGGGUUUAAUGAGCUGGGUCUCCUUAACAUUACAGAGAACAAGGUAAACGAGUCUACUCAAUAGAUGGUAAGGAUUUUAUCCCUUCCCCUUAUUCUCUGUAUGCGAGGACAUCUGACCAUGAAUCCUUACUGAAUUGUGUACCAUGGUUGCGCAGUUUCCAAAACUAGACUUGGAUCCAUCUAGUUUUGUGAAUCAGCUCACCAAUGGUAUGCAACAAGUCCCCAUCAUGGAGACAGCUGAUGGGACGGCGUGAAUCUAAUGCAUUUGGGGAAAUUAGUCUUACCAUAUUACUGAUGGUAAGACAUAAAAGAAACCUAGUACAUUAGCAAAGCUUGAUAUUUAAGGAUCAUAGGAUAGGAGAAGGCUAUUGUCCUACUGCAAAAAUGUUUGACAGUCAAUAGGGUUAAAAUUAUAGGUAAUGCAGGAAAUAAAUAAAUACAAAUUAAUUAAUUAAAUUCCUUCCCUUUGGGGUUUCUGAUGAGUAAUUUUCCCUUCCAGUUAUUCAGCCCAUGGAUAAUGCAUUAUGAAGUGUAAAAUAUAUUGACAUCUGAGAUUUUGCAUAUUUCAGUUAAAUGGUGGAGGUGCAUGUGCAGGCUUGACAAAGUCAAUUGUCCCUUUGCCUGUAAUUUUUAAUUAUAUGUAUUUUUGAUAGGAAUUUUUAUUGCAUUUGUUGCACUCCAUCAUCAAUACUAUUGAUUAAAGAGGGUUUGUCGACUCUGCCAAGUUUAUUUUUUUCCUACUGGAGACUCAAGAAUUUUCUGUUUGCGCGUCAUGUUGGGAGGCCUCCCAGCAGGGGGAGUUAACCCACCCCUGCAAAAAAACAAUGCGUCACUCGAGUAGGAUCGUCAAAUACUCACUGCAAUGACAAGUUGCACAGUUUCACACAUGGUAUUGUCAUCACUUGGUAGGCGGGGGUACAAGAUAGAAGCGCGCUUGUGUUUCCUGGGAGGAAGCAAACUUGGCAGACGGACAAUUUUUGUUUAUUUAUUUUUUACCAUCUAUUGGUGGUGAAGUAAUCGAUGAUAAUCAAGAGUAUCAGGUUGAAUCCACAUUUUACUAUCGUCUUCAGUUACCUGCUUUUGAUGCAGUUUAAUUUGAAACAUUACUGUGGGCUGAGAAAGGUCGAGAUAGUCAAAGGCUUAGGUUUAGUUUUGAAUAGAAUGCGUUAUAUCACUCCAAUAUUUAUGGUGGUUUGAUUUGAAAAAAUGUAAAACUUAACAUUACAGAGAACGAGGUAAACGAGUCGACUCAAUAGAUGGUAAGGAUUUUAUCCCUUCCCCUUAUUCUCUGUAUGUGAGGACACCUGGCCAUGAAUCCUUACUGAAUUGUGUACCAUGGUUGCGCAGUUUCCAAAACUAGACUUGGAUCCAUCUUUUUCGCUCUCUGCACAGUUGCCAUUUGCUGGCUCUUUAUGUGGACUGUUUUUGUAUUAUUGCAAGUGCCUUGUGAUUUGCCCCUAUUACAAUUUUAAGUAAAAUAAUGCUAACAUAACUCAUACUGUUAAGAUUGAUCUUUUGGAAAUGAAUAGAAUCUGUUGACAAAUGUGUUAAUGGUACUCUUAACUGGU